UGGGUGGAGACUCAGGGUGCCUCAUCUUGAGUCAUCUGGAAUAGAAGCCUGGAACCUGUGCAGCAAACACCCAGGGUGUGAACAUGGGCGUGGGGCCAUCGUGAGGAACAGGCAUUUCUGCUGUCACACAGCAUAUGACUGUUUCUGAAAAAUCCUCACACUCUGCAACACCACACACCAAACCAACAAGGUCCAUGGGAAAAAGAGAGCUGGGGCAGGCCACUCAAUUCCGAUGCAACUUUCUACCCUGUUCCUCAGAGGUGCAAACAUCACGCUGGGAAAAACGUCAUGCAUGAACCAACGUGACUUCCAUCUCAUAGUGACAUCAUUCUCUUCUGUUCCAAUUGCCUAUCAGCAAGUAUGAGUUAGAGGAAAUGUGCUGUAACAAACAGCCUAUUUCAAUAUCCUCUCAUUGCCUACUCACUUAAAUGUCAGUGUUCUCACCAAAUAACUAAUAAGAACAUGGGCCGCAUGAAAGAUGAUCUUUUAUGAAGGCUAUUUGUCAUCAUGUCAUCCUUUUAAUAGCCUUAGGGAUUCUGUUCAGUCUCCGUGUUAAGAAGAGCAAGUUACAAGCAGGUUUUAACGCUUGUUCAAGAGGCCACCAAUGUAAUCACAGCUAGAAGUGAGUGUUCAGGCUUACAAGUGCACAUGCAGUAAAGCGUCUCACAUAUUACAUUUCAAAUA